UGAGCUUAAUACUUGAUUAUUGCCGAUUUCAUCAAGUACCAGGUCGCUCAAACAAGGAGCGGAAGUCUUAUGAUGAGAAAUUCAUGCGGAUGGACACGAAGCAGUUAUGUGAGUUGACAUCUGCUGCAGACAGCCUUCAGUUGAAACCAUUGGUUGAUCUUACCAGCCGUACACUUGCUCGAAUAAUUGAAGGAAAAUCCCCUGAGGAAAUACGCGGCAUAUUUAAUUUGCCAGAUGAUCUUACAGAGGUAUCUGGUGCUUGCAAUAACCAUGAUUCAAUUCUUUUUUCGAUGUCAGUUUUGCUGUUGCUUGCAAUAACCAUGAUUCAAUUCUUUUUUCGAUGUCAGUUUUGCUGUUUUUAGACAUUCUAUUUGAUCCAGGAAAAGAAAUUGGAGCCCUUGAAAAACACAACUGUUGAUCCGAGGAUCAGGCUUGGAACCGCUUGUAACUGAGCAUUUUUCGAUCCCCUUUACAUGAGUUUUACUUAAUGCUUUUUGUUGUUGUUAGACCGAUGAAAUGGUGCAACUUCGUCCUAGUUGAGUAAUUUCCAUUUGAUGUAAUUUGUUGACCACAUGAAACUACCUCUUCUACGCCUGUAAGAUGAGCUUACAAGUUGAUUCAUGUCCAUCUUGACAACAUUGAAACUCGAAAUUAGUAGUACUCAGUUCUUUCGUUAAUGUUUGUCUGCAUCAAGUAUAGACAGUGUAGGUGGUCCAAUGAUCUUGUUGAAAUGAAGAGAAGAAAUAUACCAAAAGGUAGGACUGUCAGGACAAAGAGAUUUUUUUUGGUUGUUGAAGUAAAGCCUUUAAUAUGUCAGCCACUCACCAUAUUUAGAGGGAAAGUCCGCUAUAAGGGCCAUGUGCUUUACUUUAAAGAGAAUUGAAAUGUCUAAUCCUAUUCCACAAAACUCGCUUGUCUAAAAAUUUAUCAGCGAAGGUUUGAAAUUACGCUCCAACUAACUAAACAAUAUAUGUUUCUCGUCUAAAUUUCCUAGUUAUACAAUCAUUUCAUUCAUUGGGAUUUAUAUUUAAGCUUUUGUGUUUGACAAUGUCCGGAAACUCUUGAGUCUUGAGUAGUGGUCUUCUGUAGGCUGUAGCCUUUUAUUUUAUUUUCCUGUUUCAUCUGCUUGGGGAUGCAGAUGCCUAACUGUUAGUGAGAAAUUUUGUUACAGAUCCAAAGGAGAUGCAAAAUUCUAAGAAUAAAAAUAAAAACCGAAGAAGAAAAGAGCAACAGACGAGCUCUUCUUUGAAGGAAGCUUCUGAACUGAACAAUAAGGAGAUAAAUGGCAAACUGAUGGAACUAAUGGAGUUUCCGAGGCCUCUCAGUCUAAUACAGAAGACAGCACUUUUGUUCCUAGAGAGUUUGAUGAUGGAG